rnacentral:rRNA from 1 species
CUUGGUCAUUUAGAGGAAGUAAAAGUCGUAACAAGGUUUCCGUAGGUGAACCUGCGGAAGGAUCAUUAACGAUUGCGAAUGGAUGCCUUCAGUGCUGGCCGGCUUCGGCUUUGGCAAGUGCACGUCGGUGACUUUCAUCCAAUACCCUGUGAACCUUUGGCCUCUGCUAGCUUCGGCCGGCAGAGGAUUUUACACAAACUCGAAUGUAAUGAAAUUUAUUGUCGUGCGCAAGCACUAAUGUACAACUUUCAACAACGGAUCUCUUGGCUCUCGCAUCGAUGAAGAACGCAGCGAAAUGCGAUAAGUAAUGUGAAUUGCAGAAUUCAGUGAAUCAUCGAAUCUUUGAACGCACCUUGCACCCUUUGGCAUUCCGAAGGGUAUGCUCGUUUGAGUGUCAUUGUACUCUCACACUCCCAAUGCUUUUGGAUUGGGAGCGGUGGACUUGGGUGUUGCUGCUUUGCUGUGGCUCGCCUCAAAUGGAGUAGUGCAACUCUCGGUUGGACAUAGUACGGCGUGAUAAGUAUCUUCGCCGGCGCCUCACUUCGAGGGUGGCCGAUCGGGAGCUCUGUGCUUCAAACCGUCUUCGGACAAUCUUUGACAACUUGACCUCAAAUCGAGUAGGACUACCCGCUGAACUUAAGCAUAUCAAUAAGCGGAGGA